rnacentral:lncRNA from 1 species
GAAAAGGGGCUGUGCUGAGAAGGGGUAGCAGGUUUGGAGUCCCUGGAAUCCAGAAUUUGUGAGUGUAGAGCAAGGAUCUGGAUGAGGCUGUGCAUGAGAUGCGCACACAGAGCUGAGCCAGCCAAGGCUGCCCUAGGUCCUUCUAAGAGGAGUGCCCAGGGAAUCACUCACACCUUGACAGAAGCCGAAGGUUUUGCUGGUUGCAGAGGGACUAAGGGAUCAGCCUAAGCAGGAAAGUGCACUGAUCUGGCGGCAGACCGGAGGAGGCAGUCUUCUGAGAAUCCAUGAAAGCACCCAUGGUAGAAUGAGCCUGCUUCACCUACCUGCCAAGUCCAGAGAGAGAGUGAUGCCAAUCACCAGAUGUGUUUUCUGUUAGACUCCAUGCUCCAUGAAAGCCGGAACUUGGAAGUUCACUGUGGUAUCCUCAUUGCACACUGCAGAGCUCGAGAGGCAGCACCUCCUUCCUCUAUUUGUCAGACUUGGUGUAAUGAAAAAGAAGAGACAUCCUGGAGUACAUCAGAGGAGCAUCUUCCAAGAGAAAAGGGUUCUGAAUCCUGCCUCCCCCACAGCCAUACCCUAGAACAGCUUCUAUUACAUUUCCACUGCUUGGGAGCACUUUUGUCCUUCCUCAAAGAGGUAUUUUAGCCCACUGAAUGCUUGUAUCUAUUUAUCUGUAAACACAAUUUGACCCUCAUAAUCAUUAGGCACAAAGCAGUAAUCUCUGUGCUACUGCUCCAGGCAUAGGAUAAUUAGCAAACAGAAAUUCCUCCCUCCAUAUGCCCUGUGAUUUCAUCUAACUUCUGGGUUUUGUCUGACUGUUAAGCAUCUUAGUUUGUAUCGUAAAUUCAUCAAAAUUCAUAUAUAAUACAUUAUUUUGAUCUCAGAUUUAUGUAGAAUAUACUACUUGGGGAAAGUGCAUUCAAUGCAGCGAAAGAAAUUAUUCCAGUUUUUUGGGUUUUUUGUUUUGUUUUGUUUUUUUGGAGACAGUGUCUUUUUCUGUUGCCCAGGCUGGAGUGCAGUGACGCAAUCUCGGCUCACUGCAACCUCCGCCUCCUGGGUUCAAGCGUUUCUCCUGCCUCAGCCUCUCAAGUAGCUGGGAUUACAGGCACCCACUACCACGCUCGGCUAAUUUUUGUAUUUUUAGUAGACGAGGUUUCACCAUUUUUGUUGGCCAGGCUGGUCUCAAACCCCUGACCUCAAGAGAUCUGCCUGCCUCAGCCUCCCAAAGUGUUGGGAUUACAGGCGUGAGCCACCGUGCCCAGCCUAUUCCACUUUUGAUAAAUACUGCCUCACUCUGUGUUUCUGGUGGACCUCUCUUGAAAUUACCUCUUGGGAAGAUCUAGUGUAGUGAACUAUUCAUAUGUCUCAAUGAUUCGACUAAUAUUUAUUCAGAUUUUGUGCAUGCCUUUUACUGUGUUAGUUGCUCUUACAUGCUAUUCUAUUCCAUUUUUUGCAAAAACCAUAUUAGGUAAAUAUAAUUUUCCCAUUUAUUUUAAAUGUGAUUUAAUGACUUACACAACUUCAUCCAGGCCAGAAUGUAAACCUAGAUCUCUUCAUGUUCAGUCCAAUGCUUUUUUUGUAAGUAGGCAUGACCUGUCCCAUGUAUCUUUGCACGGUGAUACUCCUUCACUGUUUGUCAUAGCAUGCUGUGUAUGCUAUGGAAUAUUCAUCACAGCAUUCAUUACACUGAAAUUGUUGAAUUGGUUGCUUUUCCCUCCCCAUAGGCUAUAAGUCUAUUGAGGGCAGGAAUCAUGUUCUAUUUGAUAUAAUAUCCCCAGAGCCCAGCAGACUGCCUAGAAUUAGUGGGUAUUCAAUAAUAUUGUUAAUUGCUGCAUAAUUAAAUCAGUAAGCCAAUUGAUAAAUUGAUAGAGAUGGCAAUGUUUGGGUUAUAUGCUGCUGUGUUUUGCACAUGAGAAAGUCUAAGAACAACUUACAGUUCACUUUUUAUUAAUCUAAAUAAAAUGUAUUUUAAAUUGAGUGUUUAUUUAUUAAAUUUUAUCUCCAAACUCUGUUAUCCCACUUGGCCUCUGCUAGUUCCAUUAUCCAACAAGUUGUAGAAAAUUGCUACGAGUACCCUAUUUUUGUUUUACUUUUUGUUUUUUAUUGCUGUAUGUGAACUAUCACCAAAAACAACUCAUUUAUCUCUAUAGAAUAGAAUACAAGCAACAGAAUUUUUCAUCUUUCCUCCAUCUUGCUUUCCCUGUACUCUCAAAGAUAAAUUGGAAAAGAAUUCUAAAACCUCACUGACACUUCAAAUACUCAACCAAAUUUGACUCAAUAAUCUCUUAUCCAAGUGAAUUUCCAGCACCUACUAAAAUGCCUUCAGCGACAGGAAACUCUCUUCCUCCUGAUGGACUUUGUUCGAAAUUUAGACUUCUCUAAAUACGAACUGGAAAUGAAUGGAAUGUGCUAAUUGGUAGAAGUGUGAAUUGGUACAAACUUAAAAUAUAAAUCACGAAGCUUUAAAGUGUGCAUACAUUUCUAGCAGGUAAUCCUAACAAUCUGUCUAAGUGACCAGAGAUAUACACCAUGAUCUAUGUUUAAGGAUAUUCUUCGUAGUGUCAUUUAUAAUAACAAAAAAGAAAGAAAACUGAAAAUCAUCUGAUCGCCCAACUAUACAAAAUUUUUACUAAAUGAUGGUUCAAAUGUAUAACAGGGUACAGUGAAAUCAUUAAAAAUGAUGCUGUAUAUAGUAGUUAAUGAAAUGAAGAAACAGUCAUUGGUAAGUGAAAAAGUCGAGUUACAGAA